rnacentral:rRNA from 1 species
CAUUACAGAGUUCAUGCCCGAAAGGGUAGACCUCCCACCCUUGUGUAUUAUUACUUUGUUGCUUUGGCGAGCUGCCUUCGGGCCUUGUAUGCUCGCCAGAGAAAACCAAAACUCUUUUUAUUAAUGUCGUCUGAGUACUAUAUAAUAGUUAAAACUUUCAACAACGGAUCUCUUGGUUCUGGCAUCGAUGAAGAACGCAGCGAAAUGCGAUAAGUAAUGUGAAUUGCAGAAUUCAGUGAAUCAUCGAAUCUUUGAACGCACAUUGCGCCCCUUGGUAUUCCGGGGGGCAUGCCUGUUCGAGCGUCAUUUCAACCCUCAAGCUUAGCUUGGUAUUGAGUCUAUGUCAGUAAUGGCAGGCUCUAAAAUCAGUGGCGGCGCCGCUGGGUCCUGAACGUAGUAAUAUCUCUCGUUACAGGUUCUCGGUGUGCUUCUGCCAAAACCCAAAUUUUUCUAUGGUUGACCUCGGAUCAGGUAGGGAUACCCGCUGAACUUAAGCAUAUCAAU